UUUUUUUUUGUUUUUUUGGUGGUUUUGCCUGUUGGCUACCUGUGUCCCCGCUGUCAAUUAAACCGGGUGUUAAUUAGACAUGUGCAUGUGGGCAACAGUGUUACCUGCUCGGCACUGCCGGGUGUAAUUUGAGUGUGCUGCGGCUCGGGCAAAGGGGAGCAAGGAUCCUCUCCUGUGCGGGACCGCUUCGCCAGAGACAGUCCCCGCCUGGGCAGUUUGGCGCGGCGUGUGUGCGUGUCCUCUGCUUUUCAAGGUAAUGAAUUAAGCCCUAAGAAUUGUUUUAAAAGGAGAAAGGGAAUAAAUAGCUCUCUCUGUUUUUUUCCUUCAAGGGACUGCAAAUACAGGUCCUGGGUGCUGCGGUAAAGGGAGGCACAGUCUCGGCGUAGGUUUGGGCUUGCAACUGGGCUUCCCCGGGUUCCUGUGUCCGUGCUGGACAUUUGCCCCCAGAUCCUCCUCCCCUUGUCUGGCCCUGUUGGGGCAGAGGGGAGAUGCUGCUGCAGGGCUGGCAAGAGCAGCCGGCCCCCUGCCUGCCCUGGCUUGGAGGAGGCAAGCAUGACUCCUGCUCUGCUUUUCUUUUGCGUGUGUAGGUGCUGCGGGCGAGCCGUUUGCGACCGUGUUGGCGGUCGCCUCAUUUGGGGAUAUUUGAAUGCCGACCCCCGCGCACACACGUCCAAACGCUCCCCCCGCAAGCCAAGCAGAAGCCGAGCGGAAAAAACAAGUGGUCCCUGCCCAGCACUUGGAGUUGCCCGUGAUCCCCGGAAGUGGAGGGACAGACGGAGCAGACAGAUCCUCUUUGAAGAAAGGAGCGAAGUGUAAAUAGCUCGGUGAUUGAUGUGCUGCCUUUGACUGCGGAGAAAGCACUAUUUGAAUUCAAGUGGCCAGGUCAGAUGGUCACGGAAGAAGGUUGAAAGAGCACGGUGUAGGCAGACGGCUCUGGCUCGGGACCCCGCGGAAGGUGCAUCUGGGCAGGAUCGGAGCCCCGCAGAGCCCGUCGGGGAGAGCCCCGGUGUCAGCGCCGUGCUGCACUCAGGUGCGUGUGCGCCUCACCUGCGGGGACAGGGAGGCAAUGCUAAGAUUUGUGCAUAUCCAUCCUCCUUGCCUUGGCCCCGGCCCCGGCCCCGGCCCCGGCCAGCGCCUCUCCAUAGCAUGUCCCGGAGACCAGCUCGCUGCCCAAAAUAGAAAGUAAGAAACGUCCCCGAAAGGAGCCGCGUGCUGCGGGCGAGCCGGCCCCGGGCACCGCUCCCCUCUCGCCCGGCAUCCAGCCCAGAAGGACCCGCACGUCUAUGCUCUUCCCAAGGAUUUCUUUUCUUGUGAUUUGUCACAUCGGAGUUUUGCAAAUCACAGCAAGGAAACGCGGUUCCAAACAAAGCCAAGGAGUCGCCGGGCUCUCGAUCGAGCAGGGGCGAAGAGCCUGCAAACACGCAGCCUUGGCUCCGCUUGGAAAUGGUUUCCCUUGCUGCAAUUCAUGCAGUAAAUGUACAGGAUGGAUCGGUGUAAAUGUUAUAACGGGGAUCGAAGAGGUUUCUCCCUUGCACUCGCCCCCCCACUCCUCCCGUUGCCGUCUGAUCUGCACUGCGCUGCGGAGAGGGCCCUAGCCCGCGUGCCCCGCACACACGCGCUUUCCCCUGCGAAAAGCCCUGGUGGCGGCGCGUCGGCGCUCGGGGUUUCAUUCAUUUAUUUAUUUCCAGGGAAGGAAAAAAAAAUAUUAAUAAUAAAAAGCCCGGAACGAA